rnacentral:lncRNA from 1 species
UAUCUCAUCUCCUCAGGAAAUUAGAUCUACCUUUUGCAUUUCCGCCCACAAUUUUGGUGACCUUGGUGGUUUGGAACUCGGCUGAUUUCAGUCAGUCUACUCAGCGCACGUCAAUAACUUCAACCAAGCUCCUGUUGAUUCCUGUCAGUUACUAGUGGAAACCAUUCUGCGAUCAGGACUUUACCUUCACUGCCCUCUGGAAACACAAUCGGGUCCUUGCAGACUGGAUGGUUUGCUGCUCACUACAGUGCCUUACGCUCCAGUCCAGGACCACGAGUGACCUGAAGACAGUGUUUACAUUCAAUUCUGUUUCUGCAGUGAGACCAGCACAGUGUUGCCAUUAGUCACUUAAUGAAUGUUUGGUGACUAGAAAUACUUGUGAAAUAUCCAAUGGUAAGCUGUUGAUUGAAAAUAAAAAGCAGCACAAAUUGUAUCUUGUAAAUAAAUAACUAAUUUUCUGGUGGAAGUUAGCUCAUUUCAACGUUGUAUUAGUCAUCCCAGGUUGCUAAUUAAGUUGUAAUUUAAUUUUUUGGUCAUAAGCAAAUAACAAUGAAAAUUUUAUUAUAAUGUAUUUUUGUACUACUCUCUUAAUUGGUCUUUCCUUUUUAUUUUCACAUUUGAUCUUAAUAAUGGUCUCUCAAGAGAGGAGAUAUCAUUAUCCCCAUUUUAUAGAUGAGGACAGUGACCUGGGCAAAGGUAGCCAUUUUAGGUCACACGCUGACUGAAUAAAGGACUGAGGGCUCCUCACAAGUGACUUAAAAGUCUUUUAUUGUCUUUCUCUGAACUGUUUCCCACAACCACCCUCUUUUGAUUUGCUCUGAAAACUGAUUUUUCAUAAAAUUUUGGAGGUAAGAGUCACACAUAUCAGCUAUCUCACACAGAUACAUCUUUCACAUGCACACAUCCCACUCACACACAAUUACUCACCAUUUUCCACCUUGGAGCAAUUCAAAUGCCUCAUUGAUCCUUUCAAAACGCAAUUUAUGUGUUAUGAGUGGGUCUAUGUUGAUUUUGUUUUGCAGGUAGUCAGUCACCAGUGUGAUAAUAGAGUCUCUGGUUUUAUAAUCUGUAGGAGGAAAGGUCAACAAUAAUGAGAACUGAAAAAAAUCAAAACUAACGAAAGAAUCAAAGGCACUGUUUCUGUAUAAAACUGGCAAAAGCAUCCAUGGGCGAGAGUAAACCAUUUACCUCUUGACCUUUUUCCUGAUCAUCAGAGCAAGGGAACUGGUUCCAUGGGAGAACCCAGAUCCCGCUCAGGAGUUCUGAGAUUACCUAGCAUUGCAGAGGAGCCUCUGCGGGCUGCAGUGGACUGGAGUGGACCCAGCGCUGUCGUGGUCACGGACCGACAGCUGCAGCUUUCCAUUGCCUUCAGACACUAACGAUUUCCUAUAACCGCUUACCCUCCAGCUGGCUUGAUUUGAGUUACCAAGUUCUCCCUCCACCUGAGGCUCCAGAUAGCUCUUCACAAACCUAGAACUUCAACCUCAGAGAUAGGUAUCUCUACUUCUUUAGCAGUGUUUUGGAGAGUAAGUGCAGCACAAUAGUUGCUGAGGAUGCUGGUGGCAAGCUGCCUGGAUCCCAUUGACGGUUUGAUCACCGUGAGCAAAGCAGACACAGGUCUUAUUUUCCCCAUGUCUAUAACUCUGGGGGGACUGAGGUUUAGAGAGCUUAAGUACUUUUCACUGAUUGUAUUUCUUGUAUUUUUCAUUUUCUGUAUUUUAUGACGCUUUGUUAUCUCGGGGUCUUGUGGACCUGGGGAGGGACUGGCCCUCCCAGGGUUACCUAAGUUCUAGGCACAGCACACAGCUUGCUUCAGUGCGCCUUUGAUAUGCAGACCAACCAAUCCCCAUCCCCCUCCUUUUAUCAGGUGUCAGCAGUCUGGGACACUAUUCUCCUCCCCUAAAUCACCUCAGGUCAGUUCCCCCACAACGGGGGGGGGGGGGGGGGGGGGGCCAACCCUACAGCCCAGACCCUGCUGAAGCUCGCUUGGCUUGCCUAGCCUGCCUUGCCUGUUCCUUCCCUGGGAAACCACACGAAAGUCUCUGGCCCAUGUUUUCUCCUAGCUCUUUCUGCCCCCCCGACUGACCCUGGGUCUUCCCCAUUUGGCCCUGCAUGGCGUGGCAUGCUCCCUCCUCCUGGGAACUAUGAUUAAUAAACUCUCCUUUCAAGGCAGUUGUCUCUGUGUCUGUCAUUUUACCAAAUCUGAGAAAUCAAAUCCUGGGUAUAUUUUAAAACACUGAUGCACACCCAGAAUGUGGCAAAGUUGAAGCUAGAACCCAGGUCUUUAUAUUCCUAGCAGAGUUCUGUUU